CUGAUAUACUGCAGUGUCCCAGUGUUCCAUGGAACGGAGGGGAGUGUCCCCACGCUGCAGCCGUCACCUGUACCCCAAUGGAAGGUAGGAGGGGAGUGUCCCCACUCUGCAGCCGUCACCUGUACCCCAAUGGAAGGUAGGAGGGGAGUGUCCCCACUCUGCAGGGGUCACCUGUACCCCAAUGGAAGGUAGGAGGGGAGUGUCCCCACUCUGCAGCCGUCACCUGUACCCCAAUGGAAGGUAGGAGGGGAGUGUCCCCACUCUGCAGCCGUCACCUGUACCCCAAUGGAAGGUAGGAGGGGAGUGUCCCCACGCUGCAGCCGUCACCUGUACCCCAAUGGAAGGUAGGAGGGGAGUGUCCCCACGCUGCAGCCGUCACCUGUACCCCAAUGGAAGGUAGGAGGGGAGUGUCCCCACUCUGCAGGGGUCACCUGUACCCCAAUGGAAGGUAGGAGGGGAGUGUCCCCACUCUGCAGGGGUCACCUGUACCCCAAUGGAAGGUAGGAGGGGAGUGUCCCCACUCUGCAGGGGUCACCUGUACCCCAAUGGAAGGUAGGAGGGGAGUGUCCCCACUCUGCAGGGGUCACCUGUACCCCAAUGGAAGGUAGGAGGGGAGUGUCCCCACUCUGCAGCCGUCACCUGUACCCCAAUGGAAGGUAGGAGGGGAGUGUCCCCACUCUGCAGGGGUCACCUGUACCCCAAUGGAAGGUAGGAGGGGAGUGUCCCCACUCUGCAGCCGUCACCUGUACCCCAAUGGAAGGUAGGAGGGGAGUGUCCCCACUCUGCAGGGGUCACCUGUACCCCAAUGGAAGGUAGGAGGGGAGUGUCCCCACGCUGCAGCCGUCACCUGUACCCCAAUGGAAGGUAGGAGGGGAGUGUCCCCACUCUGCAGGGGUCACCUGUACCCCAAUGGAAGGUAGGAGGGGAGUGUCCCCACUCUGCAGCCGUCACCUGUACCCCAA